rnacentral:rRNA from 2 species
AAUCCAUAGGUUAAUGAGGCGAACCGGGGGAACUGAAACAUCUAAGUACCCCGAGGAAAAGAAAUCAACCGAGAUUCCCCCAGUAGCGGCGAGCGAACGGGGAGGAGCCCAGAGCCUGAAUCAGCAUGUGUGUUAGUGGAAGCGUCUGGAAAGGCGCGCGAUACAGGGUGACAGCCCCGUACACAAAAGCGCAUGUGCUGUGAGCUCGAUGAGUAGGGCGGGACACGUGGUAUCCUGUCUGAAUAUGGGGGGACCAUCCUCCAAGGCUAAAUACUCCUGACUGACCGAUAGUGAACCAGUACCGUGAGGGAAAGGCGAAAAGAACCCCGGCGAGGGGAGUGAAAAAGAACCUGAAACCGUGUACGUACAAGCAGUGGGAGCACCCUUUGGGGUGUGACUGCGUACCUUUUGUAUAAUGGGUCAGCGACUUAUAUUCUGUAGCAAGGUUAACCGUAUAGGGGAGCCGGAGGG